rnacentral:rRNA from 1 species
CUGGCGGCGUGCCUAACACAUGCAAGUCGAACGGAGUAAUUAAGCGGAAGGUCUUCGGAUGGAAGCUCAGCUACUUAGUGGCGGACGGGUGAGUAACGCGUGGGCAACCUGCCCUGUACCGGGGGAUAACACUUAGAAAUAGGUGCUAAUACCGCAUAAGCGCACGGUCUCGCAUGAGACAGUGUGAAAAACUCCGGUGGUACAGGAUGGACCCGCGUCUGAUUAGCUAGUUGGUGGGGUAGAGGCCUACCAAGGCGACGAUCAGUAGCCGGCCUGAGAGGGUGACCGGCCACAUUGGGACUGAGACACGGCCCAAACUCCUACGGGAGGCAGCAGUGGGGAAUAUUGCACAAUGGGGGAAACCCUGAUGCAGCGACGCCGCGUGAGUGAAGAAGUAUUUCGGUAUGUAAAGCUCUAUCAGCAGGGAAGAAAAUGACGGUACCUGACUAAGAAGCCCCGGCUAACUACGUGCCAGCCGCCGC